AUGAUUACAUGGGGAGAGAUUAUCGUUCCAUUUCGUUGAUCAAUUUGGAAAGAUAACGCCGAAGGAGCAAGCAAACAUGCGAAUCUCUCAGGCAAAAAGACUCUUGUAGGACG
rnacentral:ncRNA from 1 species